ACGUACACUCCUACGGGAGGCAGCAGUGGGGAAUAUUGGACAAUGGGCGCAAGCCUGAUCCAGCCAUGCCGCGUGAGUGAUGAAGGCCCUAGGGUUGUAAAGCUCUUUUGUGCGGGAAGAUAAUGACGGUACCGCAAGAAUAAGCCCCGGCUAACUUCGUGCCAGCAGCCGCGGUAAUACGAAGGGGGCUAGCGUUGCUCGGAAUCACUGGGCGUAAAGGGUGCGUAGGCGGGUCUUUAAGUCAGGGGUGAAAUCCUGGAGCUCAACUCCAGAACUGCCUUUGAUACUGAAGAUCUUGAGUUCGGGAGAGGUGAGUGGAACUGCGAGUGUAGAGGUGAAAUUCGUAGAUAUUCGCAAGAACACCAGUGGCGAAGGCGGCUCACUGGCCCGAUACUGACGCUGAGGCACGAAAGCGUGGGGAGCAAACAGGAUUAGAAACCCCUGUAGUCCCA
rnacentral:rRNA from 1 species